rnacentral:rRNA from 1 species
UAGUACGGCGAGUGAAGCGGGAAGAGCUCAAAUUUGAAAUCUGGUAGCCUUCGGUUGCCCGAGUUGUAAUCUAGAGAAGUGUUUUCCGUGCCGGCCCAUGUACAAGUCCCUUGGAACAGGGCGUCAUAGAGGGUGAGAAUCCCGUCCUUGACAUGGACCCCCGGUGCUUUGUGAUACACUUUCAACGAGUCGAGUUGUUUGGGAAUGCAGCUCAAAAUGGGUGGUGAAUUCCAUCUAAAGCUAAAUAUUGGCGAGAGACCGAUAGCGAACAAGUACCGUGAGGGAAAGAUGAAAAGCACUUUGGAAAGAGAGUUAAACAGUACGUGAAAUUGUUGAAAGGGAAACGAUUGAAGUCAGUCAUGCUCUUAGGAUUCAGCCGUUCUGCGGUGUAUUUCCUUUGAGUGGGGUCAACAUCAGUUUUGAUCGAUGGAUAAAGGCACGAGGAAGGUAGCACUCUCGGGUGAACUUAUAGCCUCGCGUCAUAUACAUUGAUUGAGACUGAGGAACGCAGCAUGCCUUUAUGGCCGGGAUUCGUCCACGUACAUGCUUAGGAUGUUGACAUAAUGGCUUUAAACGACCCGCUG